UCUGAAAAUAGUCCACCCGCGGAUAGGCCCUUGAAAAUAGCCCACGGCGGAUAGGCAAGUGAUGUAGUUCAUCCCCCACGGAUAGGGCUUCGUCUGAGCUUCAUUAGUUGUCGUCUUGUGGGUAUCGUCGUAUCGUCAGCCUAAGGUGACUGAGAGGUUAGUGACCCCCUCCCAUCCCAUCCCUGCCAGGCCUCGCUCACAUCCUCUGCCCCUCAGGCGACGGCUCACAAAUCGGGUUUAUCAGGUCAUUUUCUCACAAGUCCCCAUCCUCCACCCCUCUGUCCCCUCUUCCUCCUCCUCCUACUCCUCUCUUCUCCCUCCUUUUCCUCCAGUUUUCCUUUCCCCUUCCGUGUCGUUAGAUCUUCCCUGUCUCCUUUCUCCUUCGUUUGAUGUUUUCUCUUGAGUUUAUUCCCCCUCUUCUUACAGUAACUCUCCCCCCUUCUCUCUCUCUCUCUCUCUCUCUCUCUCUCUCUCUCUCUCUCUCUCUCUCUCUCUCUCUCUCUCUCUCUCUCUCUCUCAUAAUUACCCUUCCUUCCUCCCAUUUCACCUCCCUUCCUUCCCUCCCUCCCGCCAUGAAAUAGGAAGGGUAAGCUAGGGGGAUGAUAAAGGCCAUCGAAGUUUGGAAAAUAUGAAGGGAGGAAGGAGAGGGAAUAGCGGGAAGGGACGAGGGAAGAAUGGAUUCGCCCCGAAGGUGACGGAAGACGGAUGCUUAGCAGAUAAGAAGGGAAUGGCUCGUUUGAAGAGGGACACGAGGAAAAGAGGAAACAUUAUGGAGAGAAAGACCAGUGGAGAAUCAUGGGAAUUGAACUGACUUGGAGAGAGAGAGAGAGAGAGAGAGAGAGAGAGAGAGAGAGAGAGAGAGAGAGAGAGUUGAAGGUAAUAAAUUUAUCAAGAUUUAGAAACGGAGUAUAAGAAGAGAGAUAAUUAAAGACUUAAAAAAAAAAAACAGUACAGAUCAUAAAUAUAAAGACCACGCGGAUCAAUGGAUAGGAAUGGAGGAAGGAAAGUUCAGAGUUAAGGACCGUGUGGUAAGCUGCUACGGUGAGGAACAAAGCAAGGAACACAGAAGGAGAUAGGGAGAUAAAACAAAGGACAGGGAAGAGAAGGGAGCGAGAUAGGGAUCAGCAUCACUUAGAAGAAGCCAAGAGAGCAUCACAUUGGUGGUAGCGUAAUGAUAAGCAUCCAGAUGAGGAGCAUUUGAAAGACAAGUACGUAAAGAAAAACGUGAAUAGGUCAGGAAAGGAAAAAGGGAACAGGACGAAGAAAGAGAGAGAGAGAGAGAGAGAGAGAGAGAGAGAGAGAGAGAGAGAGAGAGAGAGAGAGAGAGAGAGAGAGAGAGAGAGAGAGAGAGAGAGAGAGAGCCUUGGAAUAAAGAUGUUAGACGGAGAGUGAGAGAGGAAGAGAAGGGAAGGGAGACCAGGAAGUAGGGUGCUUUCCCCCCUCUUCUCUGCGUUAGUCACAAAAGCCCUGCCCACUAUAAAAUCUCUUCCAAUGUACGAUCGACCACUCGCAUCAAUGUUAAUGAUCACUCCUUCAUUUCCUCGCGGCCUGGACCCACACCUCCGACGUCCCUACAUCCCUGUAUCACGUCCCUCACUGGCAUCACUCCCUAACAAGGCCACGCGGUGAACAGAAAGCGAGUGCGUAGCUUUUUUUUUUUUUUUUUUUCUUUUUAUCAAAUCGGCUUCGAUCGCUUAUACAGAGGAUUUGGGUUGUUUAUUCAGGACGGCAUGGAAGUUUUGAAACUCUUAAAUUAUGGUCUUAACCUCCGUCACUUUAGAGAGCAGGAGGACCAAGAGAGAUUGACAGGGGAGGCAGGAAUGGGACGGAAUGGGGAGAGUAGGAUUAGAGGCGAGGUUGAGAGUGAAAGAAGAGACAAAAAGUAACAAUAUAAACAAAAGACAGACAAAAAAAUAAAAGAAAGAUAAUGAUGAUGAUAACGAAAGUAGGGUUAAGAGCACAAAAUCCGUAGAGAGAGAGAGAGAGAGAGAGAGAGAGAGAGAGAGAGAGAGAGAGAGAGAGAGAGAGAGAGAGAGAGAGAGAGAGAGAGAGAGAGAGAGAGAGAGAGAGAGAGAGAGAGAGAGAGAGAGAGAAUAAAAAAGGAAAUUACGUCCAAGAUGAAAAAAGAACACAAGAUAGAAUUACGUCACUAUAAUUACGUAUACAAUUCUUACACAACAAAAUGACACAUAAUAGUGGCGAGGGAAAAAUAAUAAGGGAAAAAAAAGGAAAGAAAAAUAGAACAAUUGCCGGAUGAAAUUAUGGAAGUCGAAAAAAUAGAGAGAAAAAAUCUUUACAAAAAGAGAUACCGCUGAAAAAACAACAACAACAACAAUGAGAGAGAGAGAGAGAGAGAGAGAGAGAGAGAGAGAGAGAGAGAGAGAGAGAGAGAGAGAGAGAGAGAGAGAGAGAGAGAGAGAUGUCAUCGUAAUAGUGAUUCAGUUAUCUCCUCCGCUCACUGCCACACUUCUAUGAGCAGUUAGGGUGACCAUUAACCACAGGGAGAGAGAGAGAGAGAGAGAGAGAGAGAGAGAGAGAGAGAGAGAGA